rnacentral:rRNA from 1 species
GAUGAACGCUGGCGGCGUGCUUAACACAUGCAAGUCGAACGAAGCACUUUACUACGAUUUCUUCGGAAUGACGGUUUUGUGACUGAGUGGCGGACGGGUGAGUAACGCGUGGAUAACCUGCCUCAUACAGGGGGAUAACAGCCGGAAACGGCUGCUAAUACCGCAUAAGCGCACGGUACCGCAUGGUACAGUGUGAAAAACUCCGGUGGUAUGGGAUGGAUCCGCGUCUGAUUAGCCAGUUGGCGGGGUAACGGCCCACCAAAGCGACGAUCAGUAGCCGACCUGAGAGGGUGACCGGCCACAUUGGGACUGAGACACGGCCCAAACUCCUA